rnacentral:rRNA from 1 species
AACAAACGCUGGCGGCGUGCCUAAUACAUGCAAGUCAAACGGGUAGCAAUACUAGUGGCGCACGGGUGAGGAAUACAUGGGUAAUCUGCCCUCGAGUUGGGGAUAACCAGUCGAAAGAUUGGCUAAUACCGGAUAAGACCACAAGAUCUGCGGAUCAAGGGGUUAAAGGUUUUUCGCUUGAGGAUGAGCCCAUGUGGGAUUAGCUAGUUGGUGAGGUAAUGGCUCACCAAGGCGACGAUCCCUAACUGGUCUUAGAGGAUGAUCAGUCACACUGGAACUGAGACACGGUCCAGACUCCUACGGGAGGCAGCAGUAGGGAAUAUUGCACAAUGGGGAAACCCUGAUGCAGCGACGCCGCGUGAGUGAUGAAGGCCUCGGGUCGUAAAGCUCUGUCGUAUGGGAAUAACACAAUGGAAUGUACCAU